GGGAAAGAGGUGGCAUCGGCGGUUCAAGACUGAGUUUUCUAUCUCUUCAGUGCCUCUUUCAACAAUGAAGAUCAAACCAGGUUUUGUGCAAAUAUCUGCUGAGUGAACUACUUAUUUGAAAAUACAUCAUUGGUUAAUAUUCCCUUUUGCUCAUUGAAAUCUCAAAGACUACAGGUGUGGUGCAAUUCCAUUAGAUGAAAGAGAUCUACACAUUCAGAAGCACAUGAUUCUUCCCCCUUCCAUGAUUCCAGUGGCCAAUAGACAAACUACAAUAAAGCCAUGCCCUGACUGGAUGUGCCUAACAUUUGUCUGGUGCUUAAAGGAGUUGGCUGCAUGCGUGGAAAUGUUGGAAAGUCACCAAAAAUAGUUCUCCAAGUCAGAAGCGGUGCAAAAGCUGCCUCAGCUCUUGGUGGAUUUUCAAUUUCUCCCAGCCAUCUCUGUUUCGCUAAAGGUUUCUGAAGACAGUGGAAUGCUGUUGAAGACACCACCUUGAUAAAACAAAAACAUCAGCCAAAUUAAAUUUAAAGGAGUUUAAUUGAGCAAAGAAUUAUUCAUGAAUCAAGCAGUCUUCCAAGCCAGAGUAGGCUCAAAUACUCCAGCACAGCCACGUGGUGGAAGAUUUAUGGACAAAAGAAGAAAAGUAACAUAUAGAAAAUGGAAAUGAGGGGAAGCUUUUUUCUCCUCCCCAUCCUGAUCACUAGUAUGAGAAGGGGUGCUAAUGGACCAGCCUUGGCCUUGCAGAUGAAGAUGAUGAAGGAAGAAGAUGUAUAAAGAACCUCUGAAAGAGUCCCAGUUUUACAUUUCAAAGUCUUUUUCCUUCUGUUGUUUAUUGUGUUGGGUUGGAGUGGAGGAUAUUUGAUGGAGAAUUGAUUCUGAAACUUGCCAAAAUAUGGAUAAUACUUUGCUCCUUUUCCAUU
rnacentral:lncRNA from 1 species